rnacentral:rRNA from 1 species
GAACGCUGGCGGCAGGCCUAACACAUGCAAGUCGAGCGGUAGCACAGAGAGCUUGCUCUCGGGUGACGAGCGGCGGACGGGUGAGUAAUGUCUGGGAAACUGCCUGAUGGAGGGGGAUAACUACUGGAAACGGUAGCUAAUACCGCAUAACGUCGCAAGACCAAAGUGGGGGACCUUCGGGCCUCAUGCCAUCAGAUGCGCCCAGAUGGGAUUAGCUAGUAGGUGGGGUAAUGGCUCACCUAGGCGACGAUCCCUAGCUGGUCUGAGAGGAUGACCAGCCACACUGGAACUGAGACACGGUCCAGACUCCUACGGGAGGCAGCAGUGGGGAAUAUUGCACAAUGGGCGCAAGCCUGAUGCAGCCAUGCCGCGUGUAAUGAAGAAGGCCUUCGGGUUGUAAAGUACUUUCAGCGAGGAGGAAGGCAUUAAGGUUAAUAACCUUAGUGAUUGACGUUACUCGCAGAAGAAGCACCGGCUAACUCCGUGCCAGCAGCCGC